UGGGGAAUAUUGGACAAUGGGCGCAAGCCUGAUCCAGCCAUGCCGCGUGGGUGAAGAAGGCCUUCGGGUUGUAAAGCCCUUUUGUUGGGAAAGAAAUCCUGUCGGCUAAUACCCGGCGGGGAUGACGGUACCCAAAGAAUAAGCACCGGCUAACUUCGUGCCAGCAGCCGCGGUAAUACGAAGGGUGCAAGCGUUACUCGGAAUUACUGGGCGUAAAGCGUGCGUAGGCGGUUCGUUAAGUCUGUCGUGAAAGCCCUGGGCUCAACCUGGGAAUUGCGAUGGAUACUGGCGAGCUAGAGUACGGUAGAGGAUGGUGGAAUUCCCGGUGUAGCGGUGAAAUGCGUAGAGAUCGGGAGGAACACCCGUGGCGAAGGCGGCCAUCUGGACCAGUACUGACGCUGAGGCACGAAAGCGUGGGGAGCAAACA
rnacentral:rRNA from 1 species